rnacentral:rRNA from 1 species
UACGAAGGGGCUAGCGUUGCUCGGAAUCACUGGGCGUAAAGCGCACGUAGGCGGAUCGUUAAGUCGGGGUGAAUCCUGGAGCUCAACUCCAGAACUGCCUCCGAUACUGGCGAUCUUGGAGUCCGGGAGAGGUGAGUGGAACUCCGAGUGUAGAGGUGAAAUUCGUAGAUAUUCGGAAGAACACCAGUGGCGAAGGCGGCUCACUGGCCCGGUACUGACGCUGAGGUGCGAAAGCGUGGGAGCAACAGGGAUUAAGAAACCCAGU